rnacentral:tRNA from 1 species
GUCUGGUUAGCUCAGUUGGUUAGGGCAUGGAGCUGAUAACACCAAGGUCGCGAGUUUGAUCCCCGUUCAGACC